AUUGAACGCUGGCGGAAUGCUUUACACAUGCAAGUCAAACGGCAGCACGGGGCAACCUGGUGGCGAGUGGCGAACGGGUGAGUAAUACAUCGGAACGUGCCCAAUCGUGGGGGAUAACGUAGCGAAAGUUACGCUAAUACCGCAUACGAUCUACGGAUGAAAGCGGGGGAUCGCAAGACCUCGCGCGAAUGGAGCGGCCGAUGUCAGAUUAGGUAGUUGGUGGGGUAAAGGCUCACCAAGCCGACGAUCUGUAGCUGGUCUGAGAGGACGACCAGGCACGCUGGGACUGGGACACGGCCCAGACUCCUACGGGAGGCAGCGGUGGGGAAUUUUGGACAAUGGGCGCAAGCCUGAUCCAGCCAUUCCGCGUGCAGGAUGAAGGCCUUCGGGUUGUAAACUGCUUUUGUACGGAGCGAAAAGGCUCUCUCUAAUACAGGGGGCUCAUGACGGUACCGUAAGAAUAAGCACCGGCUAACUACGUGCCAGCAGCCGCCGUAACAC
rnacentral:rRNA from 1 species